rnacentral:ncRNA from 1 species
UAAAAGCCUGGUCCUGACUUUAACAUCAGUUGUAACCCAACUUACACAUGCAAGUACCCGCACCCCUGUGAGAAUGCCCUUUACCCCCGGUAGGAAAAAAGGAGCAGGCAUCAGGCACGCACGUGCAGCCCAAAACGCCUUGCUUAGCCACACCCCCAAGGGAACUCAGCAGUGACAAAUAUUAAGCCAUGAGCGAAAGCUUGACUUAAUUAAGGUUAUACAAGGGCCGGUAAAACUCGUGCCAGCAACCGCGGUUAUACGAGAGGCCCAAAUUGAUAUAUCACGGCGUAAAGUGUGAUUAGAGACAAACCAAAACUAGAACUAAAUACCCCCUAUGCUGUCAUACGCCAUGGAGGUCACGAAGCCCAACAACGAAAGUGGUUCUACAAACCUUGAACUCACGACAGCUAAGGUACAAACUGGGAUUAGAUACCCCACUAUGCUUAGCCUUAAACCAAGGUGAUAAACCUACAAACUUCACCCGCCAGGGAACUACGAGCCCCAGCUUAAAACCCAAGGGACUUGGCGGUGCCUCAAACCCACCUAGAGGAGCCUGUCCUGCAACCGAUAAUCCCCGUUAAACCUCACCCUUCCUUGCCAAUUCCGCCUAUAUACCGCCGUCGCCAGUUUACCUUUUGAGAGAACAACAGUAAGCAAAACGGGCAACACCCAACACGUCAGGUCGAGGUGUAGCGAAUGGAAGGGGAAGAGAUGGGCUACAUUUUCUGUUAACAGAAUACUACGAAGAGCACAAUGAAAUAUGUGCGGUCGAAGGUGGAUUUAGCAGUAAAAAGAGAGAAGAGAGUUCUUUUGAAACCGGCCCUGAGGCGCGUACACACCGCCCGUCACUCUCCUCGAAAAACAAAGUGACAGUACAUAAAACCUGAAGAAGAAAUAGAGAGGAGGCAAGUCGUAACAUGGUAAGUGUACCGGAAGGUGCGCUUGGAAUAAU